UACGAAGGGGGCUAGCGUUGUUCGGAAUCACUGGGCGUAAAGGGCGCGUAGGCGGCUUUGUAAGUCGGGGGUGAAAGCCUGUGGCUCAACCACAGAAUUGCCUUCGAUACUGCAUGGCUUGAGACCGGAAGAGGUUAGUGGAACUGCGAGUGUAGAGGUGAAAUUCGUAGAUAUUCGCAAGAACACCAGUGGCGGAAGGCGGACUGACUGGUCCG
rnacentral:rRNA from 1 species